CUGGUGAGGCUCUUGGCCUCACAAGCUGCAGGAGGCUGACUGCCCUGGGGUGUUGGCGCCUGGCACACAGUGGGCACCCUUGAUGAGAAGCCUGAGGCCAGAAAGCAGCAGCAACUGGUGACAUCCCAGCCCUUGUCUUUGCCUGCAAAGAAUGGAGGCCUGGAAUUCCUACCAGAAGAUACAGAAACAACCAACAUGCAUAGACAAGCUGCUUGGAGGCCAGGAUGUACAAACAGAGAAAUGUCGUUUCCCACCAACCAGAAUGGUCCUAAUGAUGUACUACUCUUGGGUAAAUUGAGCCAAUAAUCACUGGAAUCAUUUCCUGUGUGCCCAGUGCAGAUGGGAAAACAACUGAGAAGCCAUCUGCCCUGGCUGAAAAAAUAUGGCCAUCAGACCCGUGUGCGCCCCUGGGCGGUGAUGCUGGUGGAGAACCACUGUGCCAAUGCCAGAGUGGCCCCAGGGCAAGUCAGUCUGGGCCUGGUUGUCACCGUUCUCCUCCAGGCUAGAUGCACGCACGCCACGCCCACCCAGGAAUCGACUCCCCAGACCUCCUUGGCUCAGGUCUUCCCUUCUUCCAAAGAUGUGACCAACCAGCCAGGUUCCUGCCUAUUGCCCAGAGUCCACACAUCCCUGUCCUUCAGGCUGCUUUUCCCUUUUCCUCAGCGAGCAACUCAGCACUCCAGGGCCAUCUAUCCCCACCAGUCUCCUUGAGGGACCUGCCACGGGGAUUGCCCGAUGGCAGAGGCCCAUAAUUGGUUGCAGGCCUAUCUGUGAGCCUGGCCUUCCUAUUUUCUCCUCCACCCUUUGACC